rnacentral:misc_RNA from 1 species
GCACGCGUGUGCGCGUCUGCCGCUGCGAGCGUCUGUGUGUGCGCGCUGCCACACCGCCUCUUUUCCUACCUCGCAUUCUGCCGUGUACUGCGUUGCAGCUUUUCAAUAACGCCAUGUCUGCGCAUGGUCCGAGCGUCGAUGCCCCGCUUCCCAUGGUGGCCGAUAUUGUGGAGCGUCAUGUAGAUUUCAUCUCCAACACAGCGGCAGCUUCGUCUCCGGCGCUCGUUGGGCCCCUGCUGCGCCCCAUUCAAGCAAUCACAGGUCAGGCCUUCCCUGUGGUGAGGACGCGACACUCGUACGGCCGGCAGCGUGCAAUCGCGGGCGAGGCAACCACUCAUCUAUCAGCGCUGCAGUCCUCUCCAGCAUCGCUGCCUUCUGCUUCCGCCGCCGCACGUGUGACAGGCUUCAGCGCACAUGUGCAGCCCCGAGAUGCCAUCACGGCGUCGGCAGACCCGUACGCGGCCGGUGGGGAGUUCUCGAGCAUUCCUGGCACCCGUACGCGGAUGCAUGGAGGAGAGACAGAGCUUGCGCUUGCCGCCGGUGGCUCUGCUCAGCAGCGCUUGCCGGCACACCAGUGGUCUCUCUUGGAGUUUGAGCAGCUCCAAUCUGGUUACUACGUGAGGCCUGUGGACGUCUCCUACUCAAAGACCGGUGACACUGGGAAGGAGGAGGCGGCCACCACUUGCCCCACCUCACUCGGGCCAUCGCACUCGUCUUGUGUACGCGGCGAGGCGUUCUUCUCGUUGCUGUUUCAGUGCCUUCGCAGCACAGUGCGCAAGCAUCAGCAGCUAGCGCUCGAGGUUCUACUGGCACAUCUGCACGGUUUGGAAAUGAGGACCACGGCGUCAAAGUCGGCAAGAAGGACGGAGGCGGUGGCGUUGCGAGACCGCUGCCUGCACGGCCCCAACUGCGCCCCGUUUGUCUUUUUCCUUCUUGAGAUUCUCGUCUCGGCGGGGCACCCGGCGAUGAUUGAGCUGGCCGCGACUUGCUUGCUGCUGCUGUUCCGCGGGAUGACUCGCGGCGAGCCGGCCGGCUCAACAGGCAGCACAGAAGCCCCUGCAUCUGUAGAGGACGCGCUCGGGGGAUGCAGCACUGUUUUGCAUUUCGCGGAGGCCGUCGCUGAGCUUGGCAGCCCGGCAGGGGGCGCUCCGGAGGAGGACACGGAGGAGGGUCGCAGCGAUGGCAGAAGCGUCGACGUCGAAGGCAGCGGCGCUGAGAAACCGGCAGAUGACCCUGAUCUCCCGUUUAGCGAGGUAUCGGAGCUGCUGCGCGGGCCAGAUGCCCGGCUGGGACUGGAGCAAUUAGGCUUUACGAACAAGGUGCUAGGGGCAAUGCACCCGCUGCUGCGGAAUUCCUCACCGGCUUCGAUGGUGCCGAGGGGCGACGGAGAGGAAACGGGUCGUGAGGGCGUCGAGAGCGAGGCACACCGAGGAUGCGUCGAACCGACCGCAACAUCGUCGACUUCUCCCUUCUCUUCUCUCGCCUCGAUUCAUGCGGAGGUGCUCUUUCUGGAGCUGCUGCUCUGCGGAGGCGUCGGGGUGGGCCUGCGUGCGGCGUGUCGGCGCGUCACCGAGGACCCUGCCUUCCUGACCUGGGCUGAGACACAGCUGUCGGCGGUGGUGAUGGGCCACCGCCGACUCGAGGACAUUGCGGAGCUGCUGUGCGUGCUGCAGCACCUCUCGCACGUUCCAAGUGCACUGAACAGCUUUCUUUGCGGCUCUUCUGUGGUGAACCCUAACUUAACCGGCACCCUUGACUGCGGAAGCGUGGCUGCUGCGGCGGCGCAUCAACAUGCACAGCACCGAUUCUAUGAGACGUGGCUUCUUUUCUUUACUCUUGUCUGCUCCACAAGAGCGGCUGAGGUAUACACGGUGCGCCACGCAUCCGCCAUUCUGUGGUCGAUGCUCAUCCUUCGCGCAUGUGCGCGUCUGGGGUACAGGAGAAGUGGCACCAACAACAAUGGCGAGACGGGCGAGGACGACGCAGGGCACUCGAAGCUCGUGGCCAGGCACAGCGGUUACGGCAUGGUGCAGGAUGUCAGCGACACGCUGCUAGCUGAGGGGAUGCAUGUCGGCGGCGGCGUUGUGAUGGAGAUGUGGUUCCUUCAGUACGCGAGUGAAGACGGCUCUGCAAGCGCUGCUGGCGACGCAAUUGGCAGUUUGGACCACUACUUCCUCGACGCUGCGCGGACGGCCCUGCAUCUGUGUCGGUCUCCGGGGAGCAGUCGGCCACGUGUGACCCCGACCGAUGCCUCCAGCGGUGACAGCCACGACGCUGUGUCCUUGGAGGCGACUGUGGCACAACGCGUGUUGGCAGAGAUUCGAUGGACCGCCAGCGCACACUUCCUCUCCACUUACAUUGCGCGAACGCGCCACCGCUCGCCGGCGGUGUGCCAUACGCUGUGCAGCACUGAGGGCGAGACGCACGAGGCGGUGCAGCUCCUCUUGCGUUCAGUGGUGAUGGACGCCGGUCGACUGACCAGGGCCUUUGCGCGCUUCACGUCUCCGCUGCUGUCUACGCCGUGUUCGGGCAGUGCCGAUGGGCUCCGCAAGGCCGAUGCCGACGGAGAGCACCCCCACACCACCCGUGGCGACCCCGCAGCCAUCCCUGUCGGCGCCCCAACGCACCACCUAAAGACCAUCUCCGCACAGGUCAGUGCUGUGUCUGCUAUCCGCGCAGUGGAGCGUUGCUGGUGGAGGGAGCCGUCAGGAAACACCGAGUCCAAUGAUCGCGCCGUGGAGGCGGACUCCGCCGCUCGCGAUCGGGCGCUGCUGUUUCUCUGCUUGGAGGCUGCAUCGCUCUACGCCAACACCCGCCUUGCCGCUGCUCUGGCGGAAGUGUACCCCACCAUCGCCGUCGACACGGUUCUCGGCUACGCGGGACUACUCGCACACGCGUUCGAGGAGGCGUUCCUCCGUAUGCGCGACGGCACCGCUGUGCGACUCCAGGUCGAUGAGCUGUGCACCAUGGCAGAGGCUGUUCAGCUGUUGCAGCAUCUCGGCAACAGCGGCUCUAGCGUUGAGGCGGCCGUACCGCGCUCGACCUUGCCUACCGCAGGCGCGCUCCACAGCAACUCGCCGGCCGCACGCGAUGCUCGUGAGGCGCGUAUCGCCGCUUUCUUCCUUGUCCACAGUAUUGCUCUGUCGAAGCGCUGUCUCGACGCGGUGCCCUUAUCGCUGCCGCUUCUCCUGCUGCGUCCUCAAGUGGAAGCAAAGACGAGGCCGGAGAGGGCGGAUGCUGCCGCCCUGGUACCCGCCACUACGAGCACCGCUGAGCUCGUAGCUCUCAUGAACUCUCUGCAGUCGGGGAUCGAGCUCACGCCCGUCUCUGUCAUGCCGGCCACCGGCGACGACGCCACCGACAUAUCCGCCUCGCUAUCCUCAGCGGCGGCAGUGUCUGUUAGCGGCGCGCCUCGCUGCUGGGUUCUCUAUCCGCUCUUCGACGCCUCUUUUACAGCCAAAGACGUGUGGGCCAGCUGGCUGCGCCGUCUUUUGGGCCUGCACCAACGCGUGAAGGACGUGCUUGGCUGGGAUGGAGUGCUUAGUCACGUGCUGCUGUGGACUCUGGCGCAUCGUCGAGAGUUGUGGGGCACCACUGGUGGUACCACCUGCGAUGGUGCAGAGGCCAGUGUGCGUGCAUCAGCCCUCUCCCCCUCUUCGGCAGCCGCGCUGUGCGAACUGAUGGUGGAUUUGUGCGCCAUUCUGCAUGCGCUGUCAGCUCGUUCCUGCGACCUGCGCUGCUCUGCCGACUCCCGCACGGCAGUCUCCGCAGCUGCUGCGUCACGCACGCUGGAGGUCUCGCUGGCGGCGUACAGCGACGUACCCGCUGAGGAGGGCAUGCCGCUGCUCCUCCACGCGCUUUUGGCGUACGUGGCGGCGCACUCUUCUGCCCGCGCGGCGUUGGCAGCACUGCAGGUGCUGCUCUGCAGCCCGGUUCUGCCACCCUCCUCCACAAUCGCUGCAGGCGUCGAGGCGCGUGGCGAGCCUGGCGACGAGCAGCAGUCUUCCUGCUCUCCAGCGCAGUCAAGGCCUGGCUCACACGGCACAUCUGCCACCGCGCAGGUGUGCGCCUGGCUGCAGUCCUGGUCAGCAGCGCAGGGGCGGCGGAUGCAAUCUGCCCGGAGCAUGUGCUGGAGUUUGGACGAUGUCGUCGCACUUGUGCAGCUCGUGGGGCCCCACUUUCGCAACGAUGACUUCAGCGGCCGCAGCUGCGCAUACGAAGGGGGUGCGACUGAUGGACAUGGGACCGUGGACGCUGCUGCAGCAGAGGUGAUGCUGACUCCCACGGAUGCUGAUGCGAGGCUCGCUGUGAGGGAUCCCAUGUGGUGUGCGCGCUGCCUUACUGAGGGCCUCCUGCAGUACUACGUGCAGCAGCGCAUCGCCACCAGCGGAAGCCUCUCUACGAUGGAGAAGAUGGUGCUUCGAUCGACGCUGCGGGAUCUGGACUGGUACCCUACCAUGCUUUGGCCACAGGUGGAGGGCGGCUAACGACCAAAAGACGCACAGAGACGGCGCGUGCCUCUACGUGUGUGGGGGUGCUUGCUUUCCACGCAGCGCUUCUGGUGUCCGGCGUGCGCACACGCGGAAAGAGUGAUAUUCGCAGUUAAACUGAAAAAAAGUUAAGCAAGCAAACGGUGAGGCACUGCCGCUAACCUCACGCGUAAUGACUUCGCAAAAAAAAAAACGAAAGGAAAACACACACACACACACACACACACACACACACACACACAGAGCACGCAUCUCGCAGUCCGUGGUGCUUCUCUCUGGUCUGGUUGGAGAACUCUCUUAGCGUCUCUUUCUCAAUCACGCGUUUCCCUUUUCUCCCCGUCUCCUUUCAUCUCCGCGUGCGUUUGUGCAUACUGCUGCUGCUGCUCUGGCCGGCGCUGCACAACCCCCUCCCCCUGGUGACACGACGCAGUAGAAGGAAAGCAUCACGGCGAGGCACAGCAGGACGGGGCACCGAAGCGCUCCUGUGGGCUUUUUUCUCUCUCGCUCUCUUUAACGCAUCGCUACGCGUGCACGAG